UGUUCCCAUUGGAAAAGACGGGCUGUGGUCUAUCUUGGUUUAGUUAUACAAAUAUUUGAUGUAAGGACAGCACAGUGCCAUUGAGGGCAGCGACAGUGGUUACAGAUUUACAGGAUUGAACGAGUUUUCCUAUGAUAAAGUUGGUCCCUUGUCGCCACCGGUAGGACACUGAGGGGCGGUACCAUCAUGGCUACGUUGUCUAUGCUCCAGACCCUCCAGCAACACACUACAUGGAUGAGCAGCCUGGAGAUCUGCAGAGUGGUCUGGGUGGGGCUGCAGCCAUAUGUUAGAGCCUUUAGGAAUGCUUAUACCUCUGCCAAGGUUGGAGCUGUAACAGUCUAUACUGCUAGACACGAUACAUAUGAGUUCCUGAGAGAUCCUCCUCCUGGUUUCUUCCCGAGGGUCAGUGUGAUCAGUCUCUGGGUUAGCUGGUCUGAUCCUGUCAAGGAAAGAUAAUAGGACACAUCUGAUGAGGUUGGGGGUUCCUCUGGGUAUGGCCACUGUUGGGACGGCCAUGUGCUACCCCACUCAGACAGUGGCUGCUGUAAAGAUGACUGGGCAGAAGAUGUAUGCAGCCAGCCAGUACACCACCUCAUACAGUGGGGAGAACAAGUAUUUGAUACACUGCCGAUUUUGCAAGUUUUCCUA